UACGUAGGCAGCGAGCGUUGUUCGGAGUUACUGGGCGUAAAGCGUGCGUAGGCGGUGUCUUAAGUUUGUUGUGAAAUCUCCCGGCUCAACUGGGAGGGUGCGCCGGAUACUGAGGGGCUAGAGUGUGGGAGAGGAAAGUGGAAUUCCUGGUGUAGCGGUGAAAUGCGUAGAUAUCAGGAGGAACACCGGUGGUGUAAACGGCUUUCUGGACCAUAACUGACGCUGAGGCACGAAAGCGUGGGUAGCAAACAGG
rnacentral:rRNA from 1 species